AGAGUUUGAUCCUGGCUCAGGACGAACGCUGGCGGCGUGCCUAAUACAUGCAAGUCGAGCGGAUCGUUGGGAGCUUGCUCCCUUCGGUCAGCGGCGGACGGGUGAGUAACACGUGGGCAACCUGCCUAUGAGACUGGGAUAACUUCGGGAAACCGGAGCUAAUACCGGAUAAUGCAUUUCCUCUCAUGUGGAAAUGCUGAAAGAUGGUUUACGCUAUCACUCAUAGAUGGGCCCGCGGCGCAUUAGCUAGUUGGUGAGGUAACGGCUCACCAAGGCGACGAUGCGUAGCCGACCUGAGAGGGUGAUCGGCCACACUGGGACUGAGACACGGCCCAGACUCCUACGGGAGGCAGCAGUAGGGAAUCUUCCGCAAUGGACGAAAGUCUGACGGAGCAACGCCGCGUGAGUGAUGAAGGUUUUCGGAUCGUAAAACUCUGUUGUUAGGGAAGAACAAGUACCGGAAGAAAUGAUCUUGAACUGACGGUACCUUACCAGAAAGCCACGGCUAACUACGUGCCAGCAGCCGCGGUAAUACGUAGGUGGCAAGCGUUAUCCGGAAUUAUUGGGCGUAAAGGGCGCGUAGGUGGUUUAUUAAGUCUGAUGUGAAAGCCCCCGGCUCAACCGGGGAGGGCCAUUGGAAACUGGGAGGCUUGAGUAUGGUAGAGGGAAGUGGAAUUCCUAGUGUAGCGGUGAAAUGCGUAGAUAUUAGGAGGAACACCAGUGGCGAAGGCGACUUCCUGGCUUGUAACUGACACUGAGGCGCGAAAGCGUGGGGAUCAAACAGGAUUAGAUACCCUGGUAGUCCACGCCGUAAACGAUGAGUGCUAGGUGUCGGGGGUAUCGACCCCCUCGGUGCCACAGCUAACGCAAUAAGCACUCCGCCUGGGGAGUACGGUCGCAAGACUGAAACUCAAAGGAAUUGACGGGGGCCCGCACAAGCGGAGGAACAUGUGGUUUAAUUCGAUGAUACGCGAGGAACCUUACCUGGGCUUAAAUGUAGGACGGCUAUAGAAACAUAGACUUCUUAGUUUACUAAGACACAGAGACAGGUGGUGCAUGGUUGUCGUCAGCUCGUGUCGUGAGAUGUCGGGUUAAGUCCCAUAACGAGCGCAACCCUUAUCGUUAGUUGCCAGCGGGUAGCCGGGGACUCUAGCGAGACUGCCACCGUAAGGUGAGAGGAAGGUGGGGAUGACGUCAAAUCAGCACGGCCCUUAUGUCCAGGGCUACACACGUGUUACAAUGGCCGAUACAAAGGGCAGCUACUCCGCGAGGAGAUGCUAAUCUCUAAAGUCGGUCCCAGUUCGGAUUGGAGUCUGCAACCCGACUCCAUGAAGUUGGAUUCGCUAGUAAUCGCGCAUCAGCCAUGGCGCGGUGAAUACGUUCCCGGGCCUUGUACACACC
rnacentral:rRNA from 1 species